rnacentral:snRNA from 1 species
CAGAACUUUUUUUAAUUACUGUU